rnacentral:rRNA from 1 species
GGCUGAGUAACACGUGGAGAACCUGCCCCCUCCCCCGGGAUAGCCGCCCGAAAGGACGGGUAAUACCGGAUACCCCGGGGUGCCGCAUGGCACCCCGGCUAAAGCCCCGACGGGAGGGGAUGGCUCCGCGGCCCAUCAGGUAGACGGCGGGGUGACGGCCCACCGUGCCGACAACGGGUAGCCGGGUUGAGAGACCGACCGGCCAGAUUGGGACUGAGACACGGCCCAGACUCCUACGGGAGGCAGCAGUGGGGAAUCUUGCGCAAUGGGGGGAACCCUGACGCAGCGACGCCGCGUGCGGGACGGAGGCCUUCGGGUCGUAAACCGCUUUCAGCAGGGAAGAGUCAAGACUGUACCUGCAGAAGAAGCCCCGGCUAACUACGUGCCAGCAGCCGCGGUAAUACGUAGGGGGCGAGCGUUAUCCGGAUUCAUUGGGCGUAAAGCGCGCGUAGGCGGCCCGGCAGGCCGGGGGCCGAAGCGGGGGGCUCAACCCCCCGAAGCCCCCGGAACCUCCGCGGCUUGGGUCCGGUAGGGGAGGGUGGAACACCCGGUGUAGCGGUGGAAUGCGCAGAUAUCGGGUGGAACACCGGUGGCGAAGGCGGCCCUCUGGGCCGAGACCGACGCUGAGGCGCGAAAGCUGGGGGAGCGAACAGGAUUAGAUACCCUGGUAGUCCCAGCCGUAAACGAUGGACGCUAGGUGUGGGGGGACGAUCCCCCCGUGCCGCAG